rnacentral:tRNA from 1 species
GCGCCCUUAGCUCAACUGGAUAGAGCGUCUGACUACGGAUCAGGAGGUUAUGGGUUCGACUCCCGUAGGGCGCA